GGCUUUAGAACUUCAGCCUCCUCUAGUUGUUAAAUGGAAUAGCUCCCUUUUGUUUUGUCUCAUUGUGUUGCAAGGUUCUAAGCAGCAUCUAAGGGAUGAUGAAAAGUGCACGGGCUCCCCCUUACUCUUUUCUCUGGCUUAGGAUGGUGCCUAUUAUUCACUCAUCUAAAGGACAGUUAUUGAGGGCCUCCUUGUGUACCAAGCACUUGUUGAGAGCUGGAAAUCAGGAGGAAGCCGCCUCACUGCCUGAUGGAGAACACAGAAUAAAGACUGUGAAUCACAGUCCAGUGUGACAAGCGCUGGGGACAGAUGGGCGCACUGGGGGCGGAGGGUGUGGUUCAGCCUUUAGGGGCCUGGAGGGGCUUCCCAGCUGGAGAAGCUUCCCAAUUGCUUUGAACUUUUUUUUAAGGAGGUGAUUUUUGCAAGAGAAUCAUAGAGGUAUCCACUUACCAAGUUGACGUCAGUGAGAGGCUGGAUCAAUCCCCAGAACUUCCUAUCUCAGACUUCUUGUCAUUUGAGAAGUUUAAAGAGGCUUCCUUCAAACCAGGAUCAUAAAAAUAGUUAUCCAUAUUUUCUUCUAUUAAUUUCAAGCCUUCAAGAUAACUUUUAAAUUGUUGAUCCGUCUGGAAUUUAUUUUGGUAUAAAAGUAAGGAAAACAAAUUACAAAAGUAACCUAUGCUUGCUAUAACAAAGUCAAACAAUACAGACAUGUGGAGAAUAAGCCUUGACAACCUCUCUCUCUUCCCCUUUAACAACACAUCCCAGAGGAAACUCCAAUCAGCUGCUUGUUGAGCGUCCAUCCUUUCAGAUGUUCUCCCAUUCUUAUGCAUAAAAGCGUUUCAUGAAGAAGAGCUACCAAAAUAUCAGUGACAUUUUGACUAGGAUUUCAAUAAAUAUUUGUAAAGAUGUAUUUUCCUUAACAUUUCUGGCUUCCAAAUCAUGUAAUGCCUCAGCAUUUCAGGUUUUUUUAAUGUGUAUACCAGUAUAACACCACUCAUGUACAUCACAGAAACUGCGUGGGGCGGUUAAGGACAAGAAAACACGUUUCAAAUGGACCUUGUCAGGGCAUUUCUCAAAGUAGGUUCUAUAAUACAUAGAUCCUGCAAGAUGCUCUGCAAAGAAAAUACGGGUUCUCUGGGCAAAUGAGUUUGGGAGACACUAGGUGGUAUAUCUUCCUUUUGGAUAUUUGCAAUGCAGGGCAACUUAUUAGAAACUCUAAGUCCUAUAAUAAAGAUUUAACU